UCCUAGGUUGGCUUUCAAACAUUUAUGAACAAAACAAAAAUAUUACGACCUGAGUCAAAACGCAAAAGGAGUAACAAUUUUCUAUUUUUUGUUAUUUAAGAGAGCUGAACUUUGCAUCUUUUACAUAUGAAACAAAAAAAAUCAUCUUUUUGCAUGAAUUUUUCAUGAAUACAGCAAGCACUAACAUGGGGAAAUAUAUAUAUAAAAAACAGAUCUUUCUAAAAAAAAUUGUCUACCUGUCUAUGGUAUUACUUUUCAUCCGGGGAGCGAGCUAGACGCCACAUACAUUCAUCCAUUCACAUGACAGAAAUGAAUUACUAUAAUUUACCCACGUUCUGAGUGAGGCUGGGUUCGUGAUUGUGCCCGGCCCCGGCCCGUCCAAGCUAGCCCACUUCGCGGCACAUGCAAAGCCCGCCGGGAUCUUGCAAUGUUCCCGAUGAUAGCGACCCGAGACAGAGAGAGAAAUCUAGACAGAGAAGAAGGGGCAGAGAGAGAAAUGUUGUGGGCGCAGCGCAGGGCAGAUGAGACAAGGGAAAAGCCGGCGGUGUGGAGCUACGGCCAAAACCACCGCGGUUUUGGGCGCCCCCGGCCGGGCCACCUUUUGACGUGUUUGUACGCUUGCAUCCGCCACCUUCCGCCAUGGCCCCGCCUCCUAUACAGAGAGAGAAAGAUGUAGAAGAGAGAUGAGACAAAUUAGCAAGCCGGCUAACUACAAAACAGCAUUAUUAAUCAGAGCGCUCAAGUGCUAUGCUAUGUAUGCGUGCCCACGCUAGCAUUAUUCUAGUACGCAAGGCAAGAGAAUCUAGCUAGCCGGAGAAAUGUCUUUUUUACCAGCCAAGGAAUCUUGGUUCUUCCUUAGAGCAAAAUAUAGCUCCAGCUAAUUCGUAGUGGCAGUAGCAGCUAGUGUUAGAGGUACAACGUAGAGGGGUACAGACAACACGAGGAAAGCCAAAGACGAAUGUGAAAGGAAGGAACAAUCAGGCUAGCAGCUUUAGCUACGGCGUGCAUGGAAGAAGAAGAAGAAGGGAGCCCUAGUCGCGGUGCGCCGUGUCCGUCCUACCUCCCCGGCCCCAUCCAUCUUCCAUUCCAUCAACCUUCGUGCUCCACACACGUGCACGUGGUGAGAGUGGUAGUAACAACGAGUGGUAGUAAAAGUAGCUCGCCGGGGUACGUACACUGAUACACGGUGAGAAGCGUGGGUGAAGCUUGCCACCCAUCCAUGCAUGCAUGUGCGGUGUCUCGCUUUUGUGCAUGCAUGAGCAGUGAGAGCUCUCAAGCACCUGUUGCGUCUCCAUCUACCUACACGUUCGAUCCAUGGCUUUAGAGCAACUCUCAAAUGG
rnacentral:lncRNA from 1 species